rnacentral:rRNA from 1 species
GACGAACGCUGGCGGCGUGCUUAACACAUGCAAGUCGUACGGUAAGGCCCUUUCGGGGGUACACGAGUGGCGAACGGGUGAGUAACACGUGAGUAACCUGCCCACAACUUUGGGAUAACGCUAGGAAACUGGUGCUAAUACUGGAUAUGUGCUCCUGCUGCAUGGUGGGGGUUGGAAAGCUCCGGCGGUUGUGGAUGGACUCGCGGCCUAUCAGCUUGUUGGUGGGGUAGUGGCCUACCAAGGCGGCGACGGGUAGCCGGCCUGAGCGGGUGACCGGCGACAUUGGGACUGAGAGACGGCCCAGACUCCUACGGGAGGCAGCAGUGGGGAAGAUUGCACAAUGGGCGCAAGCCUGAUGCAGCAACGCCGCGUGCGGGAGGACGGCCUUCGGGUUGAAAACCGCAUUCAGCAGGGACGAAGCUUUUUGUGACGGUACCUGCAGAAGAAGCACCGGCUAACUACGUG